rnacentral:rRNA from 1 species
GCCCUGAGUCUUCUAUUACACAAGAAUUAAACUAAACUCAGGAGUUAUUCAAAUAAGGCACAGCUUAUUUGAAACAGGAUACAACCUAGAAAAAAGGGUAAGACAAAUUUAAUCUCUGACAAGNGGGCCUGAAAGCAGCCACCUUUUAAAAAGCGUCAAAGCUUAACAUUAAUAAUUUUCUUAAUAUCUAAAUUAAUUUCUAACCCUUAUUUACUAUUAAAAAACUCCAUAAAAUUAUGGAAGUUAUUAUGCUAGAACAAGUAACAAGAAAAAGACUUUCUCCAAAAUGUAAGCUUAAGCCACAACAGACAAACUGAUGGCAAUUAACGUUUAUGAGUCACUUGUAGUAACACCAACAGGAAAACUCUACAUGAGUUCUAACGUCAACCUUACACCAGCACAUUU